rnacentral:rRNA from 1 species
CGGACGGGUGAGUAAUGUCUGGGAAACUGCCCGAUGGAGGGGGAUAACUACUGGAAACGGUAGCUAAUACCGCAUAACGUCGCAAGACCAAAGAGGGGGACCUUCGGGCCUCUUGCCAUCGGAUGUGCCCAGAUGGGAUUAGCUAGUAGGCGGGGUAACGGCUCACCUAGGCGACGAUCCCUAGCUGGUCUGAGAGGAUGACCAGCCACACUGGAACUGAGACACGGUCCAG